UACGUAGGGCGCAAGCGUUGUCCGGAUUUAUUGGGCGUAAAGAGCGUGUAGGCGGCCAGACAGGUCCGUUGUGAAAACUCGAGGCUCAACCUCGAGACGUCGAUGGAAACCGUAUGGCUAGAGUCCGGAAGAGGAGAGUGGAAUUCCUGGUGUAGCGGUGAAAUGCGCAGAUAUCAGGAAGAACACCCGUGGCGGAAGGCGGCUCUCUGGGACGGUACCGACGCUGAGACGCGAAAGCGUGGGGAGCGAACAGG
rnacentral:rRNA from 1 species